rnacentral:lncRNA from 1 species
AUGCCCGCGGGCGUGGCAGUUGCCCCCUCACGGCCGAGCGCCCCGCCGCUGGCUGAGGACAGAGCAGGAGGGACGGGACUCACCCUGUGGCUCCGGCCGGGGCCCCGAGGGCGGCAGCGGCGGCUCCUGGUGCUGCAGCGGGGAGGUGGAGGCAGAGGCCGAGGCCGACGUGAUGAGGAGCCUCUGGAAGCGGUUGGGCGGGCGGCAGGGCACCUCCAGGCCGGCCGCCAGCUUGGCCUUGUUGGCGCUGGUGAGCCUCUUGAGGUGCACGAGCAGCUGCGGCUGGUCGCGGCGGAAGUGCGGGCUGUGGAAGUGGUGGAGCGGCCCGUCGCCCGCCGGCCCGCCGCCCCCAGGCCCCGGCCCGGGCCCCGCCGCGCCCGGCCCGCCCAGCACCACCUUGCGGAAGCCGUAGAGGUUGAGCUGGCGGAUGAAGCUGGUGAAGUUGGUGGUUUUGAAGAGCUCGGGCUCGGCCCCGGCGCCCCCGACGCCGCCCCCGCCGCCGGCGCCCCCGGCCCCGCCGCCCCCGGCCCCCGCCCCGGGCGGGCUGAGCAGCUCGGCCUCGAAGAGCGGCUGGUCGAUGAGCAGCCCCUCACCACGGCCGUCCCAGCGGAUCGAGCGGUACCGGGGACUGUUCACCAGCCGCCACAGCUUGGCGGGGAAGUUGUUGGGAUUGAUGGGGGUGGAGAGCAGCGCCUCCUCCAUCGCCCCGCCCGGGCCCUGGGCCUCGCCCCGCCGAGCCUGGCUCUCCCACCCCGUUCUCGAUCUCCCCCCUCCCCCCUCCGCGGCCUUCGCUCCGCCCUGCCCCCUCCAACCAGCACCCCGCCGUCGCGGACCCGGGGACCGUUGGCGCACGAGCCCCCCCGCGGCGCCUGCCAGCGCGGCCAAUGGGGCCUCGAGUUGCCGCUGCGCGGCAGCACUUGGCGCGAGCCGACCCGCCCCUUACACCCGCGCCACGUGCACCACGGAGAAGGUACGCUCGCUCGGCGCUCGCUCGGCGGCCUCCCGAGGGAGCCGGAGGCGCUGGGGCCCGGGGCCCGCGGGCCGGUGUCCCGUACUGCAGAGAGAUCCGCUGGGGUAUCCGCGGCGGAAUGCGGAGACCUGUGUACUUCACCGCUACCGGCAGCGGGGCUGUGGGGCUUUAGAAUUCAGGAAGUGUGA